GAGCGGGAAAGCUCCUUCGGGAGUUAGUAUAGCGGCGGACGGUUGAGUAACGCGUGAGUCAUUUGCCCUUCAGUGAAGAAUACUCCUGGGAAACUAGGUUUAAUGCUGCAUACGUCCCUUUGGGGAGAAAGGUGGCAUUUGCUGCCGCUGAAGGAUAAGCUUGCGGACUAUUAGUUUGUUGGUGGGGUAAAGGCCUACCAAGACAAUGAUGGUUAGCCGGCCCGAGAGGGUGAACGGCCAGAUUGGGACUGAGAACGGCCCAGACUCCUACGGGAGGCAGCAGUGAGGGAUUUUGCGCAAUGGGCGAAAGCCUGACGCAGCAACAUCGCGUGAAGGAUGAAGGCUCUAGGGUCGUAAACUUCUGUUAAGUGGGAAGAAAGACUUGCUUGGAAUAUAGGCAAGUUAUGACUGUACCAUUAGAGAAAGCACCGGCUAACUUCGUGCCAGCAGCCGCGGUAAUACGAGGGGUGCAAGCGUUAUUCGGAAUAAUUGGGCGUAAAGGGUGCGUAGACCGUUAGUUAAGUCUGUUGUUAAAU
rnacentral:rRNA from 1 species